rnacentral:pre_miRNA from 1 species
CAAAUACUCCCUCCGUCCCAAAAAGCUUGUCUUAGAUUUGUCAAGAUAUGGAUGUAUCUAGACACAUUUGGUGUUUGAUACAUCCGUAUCUAGAUAAAUCUAAGGCAAGCUUUUUGUGACGGAGGUAAUACGUU